rnacentral:lncRNA from 1 species
UACAAUGAGAAGGCAAACAAGGUGACAAUCACUGUGGUAUGCUGCGACCCCGAGAAAAUUCGAGACAAACUAUGCUGCAAAGGUGCAAAGGUCAUCAAAAGCAUCGAAAUCGUCGACCCUCCCAAGCCCAAAGAGCCCGAAAAGUCUAAACCGCCGGAAAAGCCUAAAGAGCCCGAAAAGCCCAAAGAGCCCGAAAAGCCUAAAGAGCCCGAAAAGCCCAAAGAGCCCGAAAAGCCUAAACAGCCCGAAAAGCCCAAAGAGCCCGAAAAGCCCAAAGAGCCCGAAAAGCCUCAUCCUCCAAAACCGGCUCCAAUGGGCCCAUGCGAUUGCCCACCGGUUUUU